rnacentral:lncRNA from 1 species
GGAAAACAAUUAGCUCUUGAUGGUUAAAAGGCAAAAAAAACUCAGGAAAGAAAAACGACAAAACCCAAUAAACUAAAAAACACACCUCUAAAAAUUUUACGGGUCAAAAGAAGUCAUCAUGACUUCAAUUAAGAGAGAACCCUGAGCAACUCUCAUGUCUGGGGUUCCAUAGAAGAGGCUGGGCAAAUGCAGCCAAGGCAGUCAGAGGAAAAGAAGAGGAGAGAGUAUGGUGUCAUAGAGGAUGAGGUAGUGCUAUUAAGGACAUAAUGACCUACGGUGUCACGUAAGAGAAAGACUGCAAAAGGGCCAUUGGCUUUAGACCCAGAGGUCCUUAAUGACUUGUGACCGGAGAAGCUGCAGUGGGAGUGGAGGCAGAGAUUAUUGAGGGAUGGGUGGGAGGUGAGGAAACAGCUGGUCAGUCUGACGAUCUACGUGCAUGAAUUUGCCUGUGAAGGAGAGGAGAAAGGAUGAGAGUAACUGGAGAGAUGUGGGAUUGAGACAAGGUUUUACUUUUACUGCAAAAAGGAGCAUUUUUCUGUUGAUGUGGAGGCUGUAAAGAGGGGCCAGGGAAGGUGCACAUCGUGAUGUGGGUGAGCGAAGGAGGAAAGAAAGAGCACUGCGCCCUGUCCCAGAGCUGGCAGUCAAGAAAUGGUUUAACGUGCUCUCUCGCCAGCUGGGAGGGCUAUAAAUGUCGUUUGGAUGCCUUCCAGGAAUGAGCCAAGGGACACAGAUGGAUUUCGUGGGGAGGUGGUGUUUCUCAUGGCUGCCGGAACACGUGGGAGAUUGUGGUACCCAUCUUCAUCUAGGCCUCAUGUGCCCCCUGCAGUGUGGGGCACCUGGCCAGUGUCUUCCCUCCCUCCAAGAAUCUCUCAAGAGGAAGCAGUAAAGGAAACAUGAUGACAUUCAGCUUACAAAGUACUCUGUGCACCUCUCAUUAAAGAUGCUGCAUAAGUGGAAGCAUUAGUAGUUCAGAAUUAACCAGGCACCGGGGACGCCAUUUAGACUACAGCUGGUACUUUGCAUUGUAAUGUACAAAAAUUGCUGUCAGAGCCGAACUGGGGCUCGUUCAUUGCAUUUUACUUUGAACAAAUGUGUGUGGGCCUGAGUGGGACAGGCUGCUGGGGACUCACCUUUCUGGGCAUCCCUGUGAGGUAAAUGGCACCAUCCAGCUUCCAGGCAUCUGGGUAAGAUUGCCCUACAAUUGAUCAGCCUGCCCCAUCAUUGCAGGAAUCUUCCUAAAAUUUUGUUUCCAGAAGAGACAAAAAAUGAACUGACACUAGGAGCCCACAAUCUUGCUGCCUGCCCUUCUUGGCCUCAGAACACUGGCCGGUCGCCUACUGUAUGCAUGUCCCAAUGUGCUUCACCAACUCGUUCAAUGAUGUUCAACAUGCUGUUUUCCUUCAGUCUGAGCAUUUCUCCAAGCCUUGCAUAUCUGUAUUUCCCUGAAAAUGUUUGGGGGAAUCUGGCAAUGCUAUUUGAAGCGCACAUUCCAUUUCAUUAACUGAGCUCCUAGAAUGUGCCAGGGACUUUUCUAGGAAUUAAGGAGCAAAGAUGGAGUAGAUGUCCACAGUUCAGUGGAGGAGACGGUUCUCAAGGCAUUUCAAUCAGAGAUCUAAGAAAGGCAUGGUGCAAAGUGCCCUGGGAAUGUAGAUGAAAGCUGACAAGAUAGAACCAUGGUAGAACAGGGGAGUCAGAGAAGGCUGUCUGGGUCUGGAAGGAUGAUUAGGAAUUCAUAAGGUAGGGGAAAAGCUGGGGGCGGGCAUUCCAGGCAGAGGGAAAAACUGGGCAAAGAUACAGAGACAGGAAUACGCGCAGAGUUUGCAGAGAAGAGUAAG